rnacentral:ncRNA from 1 species
CCGUCAAUGGGAAAAAAUCGACUUGCUUUGCUUCUUUAGAAGCUGUUGCAGUACUUAGUACAACUGAAUCACCGUAGCGAACUAAUGCUGCUCCGUUCGCUUGUUUAGCUAACUCUCCAACUUCAACAGAAAGUUCACGUCCAGCCCAAUCUAUUGAAAAUAUUUUCUUUUCUUGAUCCAUAUAUGUACUCCUCUCUAACUUCUUACAAAUUUUAUAACAAAAGUAACCUUAUAUACUUCUAUACUAACAUGCACGAAAAAUAAACGCACUUGUCGAACUUACUUUUUAGUAUG